rnacentral:rRNA from 1 species
AGUGAACGCUGGCGGUAGGCCUAACACAUGCAAGUCGAACGGCAGCACAGUAAGAGCUUGCUCUUACGGGUGGCGAGUGGCGGACGGGUGAGGAAUACAUCGGAAUCUACUUUUUCGUGGGUGAUAACGUAGGGAAACUUACGCUAAUACCGCAUACGACCUACGGGUGAAAGCAGGGGAUCUUCGGACCUUGCGCGAUUGAAUGAGCCGAUGUCGGAUUAGCUAGUUGGCGGGGUAAAGGCCCACCAAGGCGACGAUCCGUAGCUGGUCUGAGAGGAUGAUCAGCCACACUGGAACUGAGACACGGUCCAGACUCCUACGGGAGGCAGCAGUGGGGAAUAUUGGACAAUGGGCGCAAGCCUGAUCCAGCCAUACCGCGUGGGUGAAGAAGGCCUUCGGGUUGUAAAGCCCUUUUGUUGGGAAAGAAAAGCAGCAGGUUAAUACCCCGCUGUUCUGACGGUACCAAAAGAAUAAGCACCGGCUAACUUCGUG